ensembl:lncRNA
AUGAGGUCUUCGGCUGUGCUAAGAGGGCAUGGAGUGUAUCAGGAGGUCAGUAGAAGUGAGGUGUCCUUCUUCAUGGCCACAUCUAACAAAGGGUGCUCAAAGCAGCAAGCUUUGAGUAUAGUAUACAGUUCUGAACCCCUAGUGACGCUAAAUGGAACUGCAACAGUAACUUUUUCCAGACAGGUUUCCCAAACAUUUCCCAGGCAGACUCCUCUAAACUCACACCAAAAUAAUUUACCUUGA